UUGCUUGUGUAGGCCAUAGUCGUGAAUUAUCAAAGUUACGUUAACAGCGUCAGGCUAGCACUAGCGGUGGACGAGGCACAGUUCCCAGACUGCCAUGAGCUUUUGGAUGAUUUUUCCGAAACCCUGGAUAUUAUCAAGGGUGCAGCUGUGAGCCUUGGAAAGCAUAAUCAGAAGGAAUAG
rnacentral:rRNA from 1 species